AUGCUCCUCCUCUCCCUCUGGCCGCCCGGCCACCACCAUGACGCAGCGGCCUCCUCCUCGGCGUGCUCCUCUCACUCCGUGGCCACUGCCGCGCACUCCACCGCGUCUUCGCCCUGGUUCAACCCAAGUCAUGUCUACCAUGGCUGUGGCGUCGGAGGCGGCGGCGGCAGCAACGGCAGCUUCUUGUUCCACGAGCAGGACCCUAACGUGAGCGUGUCGCUCUCCAUCGCCCCUCCGUCUCCGUGCGGUGCCAAUCUGGCUCCCUGCGGCGGGAGCUACGCCUACGCCGCGCCGGUCGCGCCGCCCUCGGCCGCCACGGCGGGCGGGAACCAGGUGCCCAGCCAGUACUGGAUCCCCUCCGCCGCCGAGAUCCUCGUCGGCUCCACCCAGUUCUCCUGCGCAGUCUGCAACAAGACCUUCAACCGCUUCAACAACAUGCAGAUGCAUAUGUGGGGGCACGGGUCGCAGUACCGCAAGGGAUCGGAGUCGCUGCGGGGGGCGGUGACGGUGGGCACGGCAGCGCCGCCGCCGUCGCUGAUGCGGUUGCCGUGCUACUGCUGCGCGGAGGGAUGCCGGAACAACAUCGACCACCCGCGGGCGCGGCCGCUCAAGGACUUCCGCACGCUGCAGACGCACUACCGCCGCAAGCACGGCGCGAGGCCCUACGCGUGCCGCCGCUGCGGCAAGCGGUUCGCCGUGCGCGGCGACUGGCGCACCCACGAGAAGAACUGCGGCAAGCUGUGGUUCUGCGUCUGUGGCUCCGACUUUAAGCACAAGCGCUCCCUCAAGGACCACGUCCGCUCCUUCGGAGGCGGCCACGCGCCGCACAUUAUCGAGUCCGUGGCCGUCGACGAGGACGAGGACGAGGACGACGAGCAUGACGACGGCGACCUGCACCUGUACGACGAGAACGGCAACCCC
rnacentral:rRNA from 1 species